UCAUUUUACUUUAUUUUGUAGUUUUUACAACUUUUUGGUUAAAUUUUAUGUUGGUUAUGCAAUUUUAUUCUUGGCUGAGAAAAGGAAACAUAAGUGUUGUUAAUUUAUAUACUUUUUAAUUUGAGUAAGUUUAACUGAUGUCUCUAUUUGUCUGUAUCUUGAAUCUUUUACAUUAAUUAUGCCCCCCUUCGAAGAAGAGGGGGUAUAUUGCUUUGCUCAUGUCGGUCGGUCGGUCGGUCGGUAGGUCGGUCGGUCGGUCCGUCCACCAGGUGGUUGUCGUAUGAUAACUCAAGAACGCAUAUGCCUAGGAUCAUGAAACUUCAUGGGUAGAUUGAUCAUGACUUGCAGAUGACCCCUAUUGAUUUUGAGGUCACUAGGUCAAAGGUCAAGGUCACGGUGACCCGAAAUAGUAAAAUGGUUUCCGGAUGAUAACUUAAGAAUGCAUACGCCUAGGAUCAUGAAACUUCAUGGGUAGAUUGAUCAUGACUCGCAGAUGACCCCUAUUGAUUUUGAGGUCACUAGGUCAAAGGUCAAGGUCACGGUGACCCGAAAUAGUAAAAUGGUUUCCGGAUGAUAACUCAAGAACGCAUACGCCUAGGAUCAUGAAACUUCAUGGGUAGAUUGAUCAUGACUCGCAGAUGACCCCUAUCAAUUUUGAGGUCACUAGGUCAAAGGUCAAGGUCACGGUGACCCGAAAUAGUAAAAUGGUUUCCGGAUGAUAAUUCAAGAACGCAUACGCCUAGGAUCAUGAAACUUCAUGGGUAGAUUGAUCAUGACUUGCAGAUGACCCCUAUUGUUUUUGAGGUCACUAGGUCAAAGGUCAAGGUCACGGUGACCUGAAAUAGUAAAAUGGUUUUCGGAUGAUAACUCAAGAACGCAUACGCCUAGGAUCAUGAAACUUCAUAGGUAGAUUGAUCAUGACUCGCAGAUGACCCCUAUUGAUUUUGAGGUCACAAGGUCAAAGGUCAAGGUCACGGUGACCCGAAAUAGUAAAAUGAUUUUCGGAUGAUAACUCAAGAACGCUUUUGCCUAGGAUCAUGACACUUCAUAGGUACAUUGAUCGUGACUCGCAGAUGACCCCUAUUGAUUUUCAGGUCACUAGUUUAUUCUGUUUUCACACUGUCCAGUAAAGAGACUUACAAAUUGAAUUUUUGACACAUGUUCAUUCAUAAUGAUGUAUAAGCCUUUGUUUCUGUGCCAGUAAAUACUAUGUUUAUGGAAAUGACGUGAGAACUCAACAUUUAAAAAACCAAUGUAAUAUGAUAUGUAAUAUUAUAUGGCAACAGGACAGUUGUGAUUUGCUGGGUCAAUUCUAUUUAGCUUGACCAUCCAAGCGGUUGAUAGCUUUGACAAACUGGUGGUCUGAAACAUUGAGAAAAUGUCACGAUUCACUGACAAUAAAUCAAACAUGUAAUUCUUGCUACGCAACUUGCAUUUAAUUUUGUCAAUUCAAAUUAUACAUAAAAAUAUAAUUAAUUUUUAAUCUGCUUGUUAAUUGAAAAACAGCAACACAGUUUGUAUGUAUAAAACAAUGUUAAUACAUAAAUAGGAUCAAGCAUAUUAAAAUAUCAACUUAGAUUUAGUUUCCUUUACUGUACAGGAUUUGUAAAGUUAGGUUAAUAUUUGUGUAUUGAACAAAAAUAAGAAAGAAAAGUGUAAAGAAAAGUUAAUUUGGGGAUGUUCUAUCCAAACCCUGAGAGUUCAGAUUUCCUCAAAUGCCAAGUAAAGAUUGUAAAUUUCAACCCACUUCUCUGGUUAGUUUUCAGAGGCACAUUAAUUAACUUUUGAGCUUAGUGUCUCAUUUGUACAUGCAUUACUGUAACUAACUCCAAAUCAACUAGUACAAGUGGUAGGCCAGUAUUACAUGGACUGGUGUUCACUGUUUACACAGUUUCACAACCCCAUCUGAUACUGGUCAGUAUCUUGGCAAGUGGCCAAAGUUGGGAGUGGAAUUAAUGGUCUAUUACAUAACUGAUUUCUGUGUGUUGUAAACACAUGAUACUGGUCAUGUGGUCAAGUUGCACUUGUAUACAUUUGCCCAAUACACAACACUAGCCUUGGCUAUUUUUAAUCAGAUUGCAUUGCUAUCUAUGGUGGUCAUUGACUAGGGGAGUUAACUGCUAUAAAUAACAUGUUUCAUUACCAUUAAUAAAUAAAACAUUACAAAUUGUGUGCACGUUUCACAUAUUGUCAAAUAAGUCAAAAUGUGUGAAAGGAAUCCAAAAAAUCAAAGACUCAAUCAUAUAAUGGAUAUAAUUGAUUAGUAUAGGUCCUGAUUGGUUUUUGCACUAUUAAUUGGAUACAUUUCACAGGUCAUUGACAUACAGUGACAAAAAACAUAUUCACACAAUGGCUGUUACUACAACGGAGAGCCCAUAUGGGGGGCAUGCAUGUUUUACAAACAGCCCUUGUUAUAAUGAUAAGUUUAAAAAAGCAUGUAUUCAAAAUGCACAAUCUAAGAACUUUCUAAUUUAUUUAUUACAGAGAUAUUAAAUGUAUAGGUUCACUAUGUAGAACAUUAGGAUCAAUGAUAAAAACCAACCAUAAGCAUGCACCAGUUUCUAGGUGGUAUUCAAGGGAGGUAACUAACUAAGAGUUCACUUUGUCAUGGACCCAGUAUCAUGAACAUUCUCAAUUUUUUAGUUCAGCUCUGAACAUGAUAUUUAUGCCCCCCUUCAAAGAAGAGGGGGUAUAUUGUUUUGCUCAUGUCGGUCUGGCAGUCUGUCCGUCUGUCCGUCCACCAGAUGGUUUCCGGAUGAUAACUCAAGAACGCUUAGGCCUAGGAUCAUGAAACUUCAUAGGCACAUUGAUCAUGACUGGCAGAAGAUCCCUAAUGAUUUUCAGGUCAUUAGGUUAAAGGUCACGGUUACAGUGACUCGAACCAGUAAAAUGGUUUCCGGAUGAUAACUCAAGAACGCUUAGGCCUAGGAUCAUGAAACUUCAUAGGUACAUUGAGCAUGACUCGCAGAUGACCCCUAUUGAUGUUCAGGUCACUAGGUCAAAGGUCAAGGUCACAGUGACUCGAACCAGUAAAAUGGUUUCCGGAUGAUAACUCAAGAAUGCUUACGCCUAGGAUCAUGAAACUUCAUAGGUACAUUGAUCAUGACUGGCAGAUGACCCCUAUUGAUUUUCAGGUCACUAGGUCAAAGGUCAAGGUCACAGUGAUUCAUUAAUUGUGUUUGUCCAAAACUUAAACCUUGGUUAAAGUUUUACAAUAUCUAAAAUGGUUUCCGGAUGAUAACUCAAGAAGCUUACGCCUAGGAUCAUGAAACUAAAUAGAAGCAUUGAUCAUGACUGGCAGAUGACCCCUAUUGAUUUUCAGGUCACUAUGUCCAAGGUCAAGGUCACAGUGACUCGAAACAGUAAAAUGGUUUCCUGAUGAUAACUCAAGAAUAAUAAGACCUAGGAUCAUGAAACUUCAUAGGUACAUUAUGACUGGCAGAUGACCCCUUUUGAUUUUCAGGUCACUAGGUCAAAGGUCAAGGUCACAGUGACAAAAAACGUGCUCACACAAUGGCUGCCACUACAACUGACAGCCCAUAUGGGGGUCAUGCAUGUUUUACAAACAGCCCUUGUCUCCUGAUAAUGUUGCUGCAGUUUCAUGAUCCUUGUAUAUUUGUGUACACUUUUAGCAAUGUUUAGUGUAUGUGUGCACACAGAGAAAGGUUUCAGUCAGUAUAGACCAUGUGCUUCAAUACAACAAAGCCAGUUAGAUCUUGAUGUUGUGAGUUUCUUAUUAUUUAUAACAUUAUUUAAGAUGUUUAUUAACAGUAAUACUUUUUAAAAGCAGCCAGAUAUGACUCAAACAAUAACACAUGUAUUUUAUUGGGCCAAUACGGUUAUGGUUCAAUCCAUUCUAAGAUGGAUAUGUCCAUCCUGACUAGUCCUUUAAUUGUAGCUACGGGUACUUAACCAAAAAAUACACAUGUGCAAUUAUUGAGUUUACACCAAGAAUGUUUGUGUUCAUUUUUGUUGAGAUUUAAACAAUUCUUGUUAUUAUGUAUUUACACUGAUAUUGUACAUGUCUGCAUACAAGCUGACAGGAAACAAUUGUCUCAUGACCAAUACUAAAUAACAAUUAUUGUAGUUUUUAGUGUUUGUAUUAUUUUUAUUGUCUUUUUAUUUGUUAUCAAAACAAAAACACUAGUCUCAAUGAAAUGUCAUUAAUUGUUUAUUAUUUUUAUAUUAAAAAACACAAUGUAUUAUGUGAAUUUUAAAAAAUACAUCAAACUUGGAAUGGGCUUUAUUUUGGUGAUUUUUAGCUCCACUGGCCAAAGGCCAGCUGGGCUUAUGUCAUGGUCCUGUGUCCGUCGUGUGUGCGUCCGUGCGAAAAUCGAAAAUUUGCUUAUAUAAGGCCUAUUUUGUGCAAACUUUAAAAAUUUUCUUGUCCAUAACUGUAUGGCAUAGGGCUACCAAAUUUGGUAUGUAAUGACAUCUUAUAGUCCUCUACCAAGUUUGUUCAUAUUAAUCCCCUGGGAUCAAAUUUGACCGUUCCCCAGAGGUCACAAAAUUGAACAUGUGCUUAUAUCGGGCCCAUUUUGUGCAAACUAUAAAAAUCUUGUCCAUAACCAUUGGGCCUAUUUCUACCAAAUUCGGUAGGUAGUGACAUCUAAUAGUUCUCUACUUAGUUUUUUCAAAUUAUGCUCCUAGGAACAAAUUUGACCUUGCCCCAGGGGUCACAAAAAUGAACAUAUGCUUAAAUAAGGCCUAUUUUGUGCAAACUUUAAAAAUCUUCUUGUUCUUAAUUAUAGAGCCUAGGGCUACUACUUUGGUAUGUAGUGAUAUCUAAUAGUCCUCUACCAAAUUUGUUCAAAUUAUUUCCCUGGGCUCAAAUUUGACCCGGCCCCGGGGGUCACAAAACUGAACAUAUGACGUUUACCAGUGGAGAUUACUGCGGCCGUUUGGCUGUGACCAACAACAACAUCAACAUCUUGUAAACAUGAGAUAAAACCCUGUCAUUUAGUGCCAUUUUAGGUCAGAUGGUGACUGCUUACAAAGGCAUUGAAGUAAGAACAUGUGUUAUGAAUGUUUUUCUAAUAAACUGAAAAAAGUCGGGUUUUAUUUAAAUAUGUCGAAAGUGACCAUAUAUCCGGAUGAAAAUAUUUUGGAUGACAUGUUAAUUUCAUGUCUUUUUUGUAGUGUUAAAACCAGUUUAAUAAUAUAUUAUUGAUUUUAAAAACACAACUUCCAUGAACAUAAUUAUUUCAAGGAAAGUCAAUAUACGAUACUGCACGGUAAACUCAAACUUUGUAUCCAAGAGGUGUUGAAAUUAAUUAAGUGCAAUGUUCUUAACUAUCGUAUAUGCUGCUUUUUAAUAACUAAUGAUUCAUUGUUCCAUUUGUGAAAGGUGACUGAUCAUGAAUUGUUGAAAUGAUUGUCAAUUGCUCAACAAUCCAUGUAUAUUUCUGACCAUUUUAUAAUUUUCUUAAUAUAAGUUAUGAAUUGAUCUUAGAAGUCAAAUGUAUUACUUAAUUAAAUACAUUUAUAAAUAUAAAGAAAUAAUCUUUAGAUUAUCAUAAUAUUCUCAGGCCUGUUGGUCUUAGGGAUGUGUGGGUUGAUGAGCAAUUUCUCCUUUUAUCACAAUUAUUUCUACCCUACCUGAUCAUUUCCUUCAUAUUCCAUUUUAAUUCAAUUGACGUCUGUAACCUCUUUCAAAUUGGGAAAGUCCAAAAUGUGUUGUUUGGUAAAGGGUUAAGGCAUUUUGAUUCCUAUGGGUCUUGUGAAUCUGUUUCAAAUCAAAUGCGUAGAUUUGAUCUUCAGCAUCUAAAAAUAUGUGAAAUAGAAAGAACGACAAUAUCUUUUGGAGAGAUAAAUGUACCUACGUUAUAAGCAAAGGACCUGUGCAACAAUUCCUGGGCUUUUUUGUCUGUUUAGUUAACACGGUAGUAACUUUUUCCAUAUAUAAAAAUGC